rnacentral:rRNA from 1 species
UACGUAGGGUGCAAGCGUUGUCCGGAAUUAUUGGGCGUAAAGAGCUCGUAGGCGGUUCGUCGCGUCGGCUGUGAAAACCCGGAGCUCAACUCCGGGCCUGCAGUCGAUACGGGCGGGCUAGAGUUCGGCAGGGGAGACUGGAAUUCCUGGUGUAGCGGUGAAAUGCGCAGAUAUCAGGAGGAACACCGGUGGCGAAGGCGGGUCUCUGGGCCGAUACUGACGCUGAGGAGCGAAAGCGUGGGGAGCGAACAGG